AAGAGUUAGGGUCCCUCGUGGCCCGACCUCCCAACCCUUUGUUUACUAAACCUAUGUUGCUUCGGCGGACCCGUCUUCAUUGACCGUCGGAGGAUCGCACUGGUCCUCUGGCCCGUGUCCGUCGAUAGCCCAUCUUAAACUCUUUUGAAUCAUGUCUUAUUCUGAGUAACAAACAAAAUUAAAGCA
rnacentral:misc_RNA from 1 species